AUGUAUGCUGGUUCCAAGCCCACCUCGGAGAUGAGGAACUCAGACCUGCGCUGCAGCCGACCAUCUGAACGUGCUCUUCAAGUAUUCAACUUUGGCUGCGAUCUUCUCCUCGCUGAGGAAUGCAACAGCAUGCAGCGCGUGCCUGAACAUGACAGAGCCACGGGGCACACCUAUGUCUUCGGCGCAUGUCACCAUCGCCUGGACAAGCUCCGGGUUGGCGGUGAUCAUCCUCGGCCUUGAGAUGCACAGCUUGGCAAUAUCGCAAUCACCUAA
rnacentral:rRNA from 1 species